AUGUUGGAGUCUUCAAAACGUCCUCUCCACGAGCACACCGAGCUUUGUCAGCUGGAUGCCAUCUCACUAAUAAUGGCUCUGAAGGCUCAAUUCAAGUUGGGCAGAGAAUGCUACAACGCGAUGAUGAUAGUAUUUGGACGUUUUCUACCCAAAGGACAUGUACUACCUGCAAACCUGUAUCAGUCAGACAAAAUCCUCCGUGCUCUUAAGAUGCCCUAUGAGAAGAUACAUGCAUGUGAUAAAGGAUGUGCCUUAUUUAGGCUUCAGUAUGCGGACUUGAACUAUUGUCCCAUUUGCAAGUCAUCCAAGUAUGCUGUGGUAGACAACGGUAUGGUGAGAAGACGCAGACCAAAAUCCCCGUUAAUGUUCUUUGGUAUAUGUCAAUCGUACCAAGACUUCAACGUCUUUUCAUGGUCGAAGAGACGGCCAGACAGAUGA
rnacentral:rRNA from 1 species